ACCUGAGCUGCAUUGCCGCUGAAGCCAGGAAAUUGUACGUGCAAAAGGUGGCGCGGAAGCUGCAGCGGGCAGGUUUUUAAGAUGGCUGCCAGGGGUACACCCUGAUAGGUCUCGUCCCUUCAAGUGGGCGGGACUCAGAGUAUGAUGAGACGUCACUCCGUGGAUAGGUUACAUGCGACGGCAAGGUGAAGUGACCCGGCAGAUGUGACCGAAGUCUCUAAUUGGCGGCCUUUAAGUUCGUUAAAAGGGAGAUGGUUCUGGGUGGGCCUGACCUAAUCAGGUGAGCGCUUCAACCGAAAAGCCUAGAAGUCAGAGAAGAAAAAAGUCAGAGAGAUUUGAAGCAGCAGAUACUCCUCUGUUGACCUUGAGAAAAUAAGCUGCCAUAUUGUGGAGGGGGGGGGUGGAAAUCACAUGGAAAGGAAGGGCAGGUGACCCCUAGGGGUUGAGGGUCUCAGUCCUACAACUGCAAGGAGCUGAAUUCGUACGACAACCAGAGCAUUGGGAAGAGGGACCCUGAGUCUAUGACGCGAGAGCUAUUGUGCGAGGUCAUAAAGAGCAUGUGGUCACCAGUUGACCUUCAGGCUGGUCAGCCAAUGGACACUCAUCACUCCCUCCCCCGUCCUUGGACGGUACAUUCUGCUUGCCUCCCCCAUUCCCAGAGGCUGCCCCAAAGAUACAGCCUUGAGAUAGCUUGUGUUGACAGCCUGUGGCUGUGUGGGGGCCAGAUUCAGAUGGCAUCCGAGGAGCUCCCAGCCCUGGCUGCCACCUUGAUUUCAGCCUGGUGAGACCCUGAGCAGGGGACCCAGCUAACCUGGACCUUGGCUCUCGACCUUUGGAAACUGCAAGCAAGUCACAGCUUCAAAGCCCCUCCAUGUGCUCAUCAAGACCCAGUCUCACCAGGCAGAAGAAAGGACUCUUAAGGACUCCAGGAUGCUGUGCUCUAAGCUGGAGGCAGUCCUGCUGUCACAAAUGACAGCAUGAAUGGCCCGUCCUGACUGACGCGUGGCCCCACUGAAUCCCCCACACAGCCCGUGAGACAAGUGGGUGUUUCCCUUACUUCACAGAUGAAGGAAAUCUCACAGCGAGGGAUGGCAUUGGGAUUGGAACCCAGUUCUGUCUAAGUUCAAAAAAGGGGAUUAAAAUAAAUCAUUGGGGGGAGGGGGGCGGGGGGAGCGUCUGGGUGGCUCAGUUGGCUGAGCGUCUGAUUCUUAGUCUUGGCUCAGGUUGUGAUCUCAUGGCUUCGUGGGUUUGAGCCCCAAGUCGGGCUCUGUGCUGACAGCACGGAGCCUGCUUGGGAUUCUCUCUCUCCCCCUCUCUCUGCCCUCCCCCACUCAGACAGAGUCUCUGUCUCAAAAUGAGUAAAUAAACUUAAAAAAUUA